UUGUUUCUAUUUCAUCAAGCUAUUGAAAGAAUUUUUCAAAAAGAAAAAGGCACAUCAGCCGAAUGUUUUCAUGUAUUAUAGUGUGACCUAAAUGAUGCCAUUGAAGCGGAGAGUCUGUUGCUGAAAUGUUUCUUCUUCUUGUACUUAUGACAUUAUAGUUGUAUAUAAAGAAUAAUGAAAUGGUCUAAAUAGAAAUAUAUUCUGUACAAGUUGUAUUCAAAAAUUAAAACAUAGUUUCUUUAUAAGGAUUUAUGAUCUGAUCUCCUCCUUCCCCCCUCCCCACCAUCCUGUCAUAUUAAAUAUAUUCAUGUUUACCGAAUUUAACUGUGUAAUUUAUGUCUACAUAACGAG